ACUGGUCAGUCAGCAAUUGUAUUUAAUGUAGUACAGUUAUAUCACAAGAACACACUCUUCCAGAGAUUACACCACAGUCCUAAUACACUGAUAACUAUGUUUGUUUCAUAAUGACACCGGAAGCCUAAGCACACUUUCAAUAAUUUGGCACAUCUUUACGGGGGGGUGGAAAGGGGAAUUUGAUGAGUGUCGGUGAGUCCACAAAGUAUCCUGUGACUGUUAUCGUAUGUUCUAUUAUUUUAUUAAUAACAGCGUCUCCUCCAACCCGAGCGUCAGCAGCAACAUCACAUCAUAUUGACAACAGGAGGAGCGCAAGGUCCGUGAUUUGGCACAAAGAUCCGAAGGGUUCACAAUGAAGUGAGACAUAACUCCACUAGAAGGUAAGCAGCCGAUACAUCCAAACCCAAAUACAAUUCAGCUCAGGGUCUUCCCAGCCUUCCAGGUCCCGGUCCUCCAUUUAAUUGGUAUC